rnacentral:lncRNA from 12 species
UGUAACUGUUUACUCAAGCAGAGAUUUUUACCAAACAUAAAAAGGAUUUUAAAAACACAUGUACUGAAGUGAUAACUGAUUUGGGUAGUUGAAAGUCUUUUUCCUGAGACACUCAGACUAACACCAGGGAAAGCCAUCUGGGUGGAGGUGCCAUAUUGAUGCCUUUCUCUCAGGCGGCUGCCAUAGGAGCUUCAGGCCAGCCAGCCAUAUCGCUUGUCUAAUGUACUCGCCUUUGUUCUUCCACAUUGCAACCAUUAACCCACAUGCUAUGUUCUAUGAUGCGGGGUGACUCAGCAUGGACAGAAUUCUAGAUUCUCACUCCCAUUAUUCACAUUGUAUUCUCACAUACCAUGAGAUCUAUCAUGAAGAGAGAGCAAUUUCUCUCCAAAGACAGAUUGGAUGAAGCCAAAGACAUUGCUUAUUUUGCAAGGAACAAAAAGGUCAAACUAACAAGAGAAUGCAAUAAUCCAGAAAAAUCCCCAAACUUCCCUAUUCAGUAGUAAAAAAACAAAUAAAAUCCCACCUUAUUUGAAAGUAGAAAUGGAUGAAUUGGCAAAGGGCCAUCUUUUUGGAGAUACUUCUACUGAGUUCCAAGGAGCAUGAGAGUAUGUCCUGACUCCUCAACCUUAUGCAUUGCAACGCCUCACUGUCAGUCAGACCAACAAGGCACCGCAUGGUUGGCCUUGCUCCAGGACCGAGAAUCCCCAUGUCAGCUGGACCUGAGCACACAUCCUGAGGAGCACAGGAUCACCCUCCAGGAGAGGAUGCUGUGGGAGCACCAAUGGAGUGAAAGGUAUUGGAAACUAUUAGGGAGGUUUGGUUUUUUUUCCUUGCUUGCAAAUUUUAUGUUCUCUGGUUUUUCUUUCUUUUAAGAAAUCAGAAGAACAUGAGAUGCCUGGGUGGCUCAGCGGUUGAACAUCUACCUUUGGCUCAGGUCAUGGUCCCGGGGUCCUGGGAUUGAGUCCCACACUGGGCUCCCUACAGCGAGCCUGCUUCUGUAGGCUCUGCCUGUGUCUCUGCUUCUCUCUGGAUCUCUCAUGAAUAAAUAAAUAAAAUCUUUUUUUUUUUAAAGAAAU